CAUGGCCACAGGUUGUCACAGCCAGUUUUCUGUCAGCACUGGCAGAAAGGAAGCAGGAGUUGCAGCAGAUCCAGUAAGACAUUUGAAGACCUGCAAGAAGAUGAGGUCUCACCAGCCGCUGUCCAGCAAAGACAGAAAACCUUGUUGAGUUGGUUUGGAAACAAAGGUAGUGCUGACCAGAGGCGUGAGCUGUGAAGUGACGCCGAGGUGAGCGGAUUGGGAGGGCGCCUUCAAAUCCCACGGCUCCAACAAGAAAUUACCUGGAGGACUCACCGGUGACCAGCAGGUCUUCAGGAAUCUCCUCGAUGAUGCACUUUUCCUCCUGCUCUCCGAGAUCAAAAUACAUGGCUGCUGCCAACAUUAGAUCUGCAAAUUCUAACUGAAGAUUGAGGUAUUUUUAAUGGAUUUAUAGCCGAACACUCGUGUCCUAGAGCAUAUAUUGAAAGUGGAAGGCUGUCAGCGGGACAGUUGGAGAGUGAGAAACUCACAGGUGCUGCUUUGUGUGACGAGACAUUCUGGUUGUUUUGUGACUGGUUAAACUGGGAGCCAAUAGCAAAGCUGCACAGAAUAAUGAUUUACUGGGACAGACCCCUUCCUACAGACACAGAUAAUCCAACAGUAAACAUUAUUGUCCCCAGUGGAAAUGUGUGUUGGGCCCAGUGCUACAGUCUGUUGCUUUACAUCAACAUGAAAACAUCUAAAAACAAAUGAGUAGCAUGAGUAAAAUACUUGUGUAUUUAUUGCACUAAGAUUUAACUUUAGGGUUCAGUAGCUUGAUGGAGGUCGGAACAAACGACAGCUCAAAGCGGUUUGAUUUGCACAAAGUCUUCUUCCUGAAAGCAGUGUGAUCAUACUAUAUCAACAUGAACGUACGAGCAGCUUUGUGCCAUACAGAAAAUAUCUACCAAUUAGUGUAAUAAUGUAAGAACUUCCAGACAUCUGAUUGAAACAUAUUCAUGUUAAUAUUGCAGGAUUGUAUUUCACACGGCAGUAGACUGUUUCUGAUGUAGGGCCAAGUGCCUGCUUUGCAUUCAGCGCACUAAAUUGAAAGUGAUGGAUGCUAAACUGCCCUCAGGGAUAAAUCACUAGCUACAACAAGAUGUAAGAAAAGAGGGUAACAUCCACGAA